UUCCACAGCUACUGGUCUGCAACUGUUUUUAUGGUAGCAGUUGUGGCGUUCUUUUGUGGGAAAGAAAGUGUUACCCAAUGUAACAUCCCUCUUUCCCAGCCAAAAAAAAAAAAGUCUCGCUUACAGGUAAAG